GCGGGUGUAGUUUAAUGGUAGAACUUCAGCCUUCCAAGCUGACUACGUGGGUUCGAUUCCCAUCACCCGCUCCA
rnacentral:tRNA from 8 species